GGUAGCGAUAGCGAAGAGGUCACACCUGUUCUCAUGCCGAACACAGAAGUUAAGUUCUUCAGCGCCGAUGGUAGUUGGGGGCUUCCCCCUGCGAGAGUAGGACGCCGCCA
rnacentral:rRNA from 1 species